rnacentral:rRNA from 2 species
UGGGGAAUAUUGGGCAAUGGGCGCAAGCCUGACCCAGCAACGCCGCGUGAAGGAAGAAGGCUUUCGGGUUGUAAACUUCUUUUAAGAGGGAAGAGCAGAAGACGGUACCUCUUGAAUAAGCCACGGCUAACUACGUGCCAGCAGCCGCGGUAAUACGUAGGUGGCAAGCGUUGUCCGGAUUUACUGGGUGUAAAGGGCGUGCAGCCGGGAAGACAAGUCAGAUGUGAAAUCCCGCGGCUCAACCGCGGAACUGCAUUUGAAACUGUUUUUCUUGAGUACCGGAGAGGUCAUCGGAAUUCCUUGUGUAGCGGUGAAAUGCGUAGAUAUAAGGAAGAACACCAGUGGCGAAGGCGGAUGACUGGACGGCAACUGACGGUGAGGCGCGAAAGCGUGGGGAGCAAACAGG